ACGGAAGGCGGCAGUGGGGAAUAUUGCACAAUGGGGGAAACCCUGAUGCAGCGACGCCGCGUGAGUGAAGAAGUAUUUCGGUAUGUAAAGCUCUAUCAGCAGGGAAGAAAACAAUGACGGUACCUGACUAAGAAGCCCCGGCUAACUACGUGCCAGCAGCCGCGGUAAUACGUAGGGGGCAAGCGUUAUCCGGAUUUACUGGGUGUAAAGGGAGCGUAGACGGUGAGGCAAGUCUAAAGUGAAAGCCCGGGGCUCAACCCCGGGACUGCUUUGGAAACUGUCUGACUAGAGUGCAGGAGAGGUAAGUGGAAUGCCUAGUGUAGCGGUGAAAUGCAUAGAUAUUAGGAGGAACACCAGUGGCGAAGGCGGCUUACUGGACUGUAACUGACGUUGAGGCUCGAAAGCGUGGGGAGCAAACAGGAUUAGAUACCCUGGUA
rnacentral:rRNA from 1 species